GUCUCCGAGACAUCCCUGCAGACUGUCUAAAACCUGGACGUAGUCUCCGAGACAUCCCUGCAGACUGAGUUCUUCUUCAUAAAAACUGAUUUCUUUGGCUCCAUUUCACGGAAAAUCCCGAAUGCUGCCGAAACUCAGGUGAGUCAUUGACGUCAUCUCCGGAUGUGAGUCAAGAAGGCAGGGCGGAAGCUGCUGCACCAUAUUUGGAUGUAGGCGUGAGGGGAGGGGGGAGGGGCGCGUGCUCGCGUUCACACGGAGAAUCCAGAGACGCGCGUGCUCCAUCACAGUUAACCAGGAGGUCGCGAGGAGGAGAAGGAGGAGAAGUCUGACCCGGUCCCGGUCCCGGUCCCGGUGAGUCUGUCUCCUUUGAGGAAACUUUGUUUGUUUUCACCUGUUUGACGUGACGUGCCUCGCGCGCCGUCACACAGGUGUGCUUCCUGUUUGCGUCGACGUGAAGGACGUGGACCUGAAGUCUGCGGCUCGCCGCGUCACAGCUUCAAAGUUUCAGGUUUGUGAAUCACCCGAUUGACCAAUCACCUCCCUCCCCGUGACAUCACUGUUGACAGAACCAAUCAGUGAUCGUGGACUACAGCUUCUUAAGUGUACAUUUAUUGGUCGGCUGUGAUUGGCUGACAAAUCAGAGAAACUCCUCUUCAUUGGUCAAAGAAUCAACCCAACAGGCCGAUCAAUGGCAGCAUCAGAACUGAUCCAGGACAGUGACGAUGUCGGUCCGCAUGUUGAGGCUAACGUGACCACAGUGAACCCGCCUUCAUCUCCUCAUCCUUCGAGGGUUGCUAACGGUAACCCAACCCGCCUCGCCUCGCCGCCAUCGCCCACCGCUGAUGCGCACGGCGGCAAAAAGCAUCAGGAGGGCAGCAAACUGAGCAGCAUCUUCAAGCAGAACCAGCUGAUCCACUCUCUGAGCAGCGGGCUGAGGAAACACUGCGACUACGUGAAGAUCACCGUGCCGGAGGAGCGGGCGAACCGGCUUCCCAAGGAGUGGUGGAAGACGGGCGUGGCCUUCCUCUACGCCCUGUUCAACCUCGUCUUCACCACCGUUGUGAUCACCAUCGUCCACGAGAGGGUGCCGGACAAGUCCGUGAGCCCGCCGCUGCCCGACAAGUUCUUCGACUACAUGGACCGAGUGCCGUGGGCCUUCACCGUCACCGAGGUCAACGGGCUGAUCCUGGUCGGACUGUGGCUCGUCCAGUGGCUGUUCCUCAAACACAAGUCCAUCGUGGGCCGGCGCUGUUUCUUCCUGAUCGGGACGCUCUACAUGUAUCGCUGCGUCACCAUGUACAUCACCACGCUGCCUGUGCCUGGAAAACACAUGGUGUGUGCUCCGAAGCUCUACAACGACUCGACUGGGAAGAUCUGGAGGAUCCUGAGGCUGAUCUCAGGAGGAGGUUUGUCUCUGACCGGCUCUCACCUGAUGUGUGGCGACUUCCUGUACAGCGGUCACACGGUCAUGUUGACGCUGUCCUACCUCUUCAUCAAAGAGUACUCCCCUCGCUGGAUGUGGUGGUAUCACUGGUUCUGCUGGCUGCUCAGCGCCUCGGGAGUCAUCUGCAUCCUGAUCGCUCACGAGCACUACAGCAUCGACGUGGUCAUCGGAUACUUCGCCACCACCAGGACCUUCUGGUGGUACCACACCAUGGCCAACACACAUGCGCUGCGUCAAGCUCCCAACAACUACCUGUCGAGGACGUGGUGGAACCCCAUCUUCGGGUUCCUGGAGAGGAACGUGCAGACGACGGUUCCCAUCGUUUUCGCGUGGCCCGUGGCGCUGCCUUCGUCCUGCAGACAGCGGUACAGGAUCGUAGAAGCGGGACGGGACGAGUGACGGCGGCGGAGGUUACUGAGCCGAGUUUGAACGGCGUCCGUCCUGACUUCCUGUACGAGAGAGCUUGAACAUCAGAAACAACUUGGUCUGUUCUCUCCUGAGGACGAGGAGACACUGAAAGAAGGAAGAGGUUCUUGUGUUUGCAACGUUAGGAUCACCUCGUCCACAAAACUGUAAUGAUGCAGUUCAUCCUCAUGUUAAUAACAACAUGUAGAAUAAUCUCUAAAACCAGACGUUUGACUCUAACCACUGCUACUGUUAGACUGCUGCUGUGUGCCAGUAAAUCCAACCUGUGGUUCUGCAGAACUCUGAACAUAAACCUGCCGUAGCUUCUGAAACGGACUUCAGAGGUGGACUUUGUGUUCAGUGAACAAACUAACGGACCAAACAGAUCGAGAGGUGACAGGUGACUUCCUUUGUGCUCUGUGCUCCAAUCACAGUCGAGCAAGCCUCAACUGUGAUUGGAGCACAGAGCAAAAAGGGGCGGGAUUCAAAAAGUGAACCGUCACCAGAACAUCUUCACGGAGAAGCUGACUGUUGUUGUUGUUGUUGCGUGUACGGCAGAACAAUCUGAAACAUUGGCUCACGUCCUGAAGACGUUUAUCGCUGCGUAUCGGGAGGUUGUUGCCGAGACAAUACUUGAAUCUCCACGCAAAUACCAAAAUAAAUGUCAGCAUGUCCCCGACGUCCACCACCGUCCACGUUUGAGACAGAAACCUGGGACACGAGCUGGGAACCAAGCAGCAUCGUCGGCGCUGCCUCAGUCGGUUCUCCGUCAGCAUGAGCGCGAUCACUUACUUCAAGCUUGUGACGAGUAAAAGCAUCAUCAUGGUCCAUCAGUGAGUCUGCGUGUUCAAACACAGACAGCGCUUCUAGUCCUCGUCAGUGUUUGAGGGUAAUGAGUAUCGUCUAUACUUGUUUGUUGUUGUGUAAGUUAUAUUUUCACGUAUGGAAAGUAUUGAGACUUUUUUAAUUUCAUUGUAAACGGAUGAAACAUGACAGCUUCCUGUAGACUUCACAUCUGAUCAGGUCAUUCCUCAAAGAGUUCAGUGUGAACAAAAUGUCUCUAACCAC